UUUUUCUUCUUUUUUUUGUAAAAUGUUUAUUUUUCAACUUUUGAUUAAAACAAAAUGUAAUUGUUAAAGCAGCAUAGCUCUAGAUUCAUGCUAAUUUUGAUGAAAAUAUUGAAAAUGUAUUAAAAAGUAUAAAAUUAUUAAGUGAAUACAGAAAAUAAUUCACACAUUGCAAAUGACAUAUAAAUUUAUGGGGGUCAAAAGGGCCAGGAUAUGCAAAAUAUUUCUUUUCACUGUAUUAAAUCCCGCAGUAGAAAUAAUCAUUAGCAUAUAACAUGUAAAUUAUUUCUUCACUUGUGAAUGUUUUUACUUGUCUAAAAUCUUAUAUUUUUCUCAAGGUUGAUUUUCUUGAAAUAUUUGACUCAUCUGGAGGCGUGCAGCUUUAAUUGUGUUGUAGGGUAAUUUUGACAUGUUUAUUAUCAUUUUGUAUCUAUAUUUACAUAAAUUCAUAUACAUUGACCAACUGAGAUUUUUUUUUCAUAACUUUGAUUCCAUACUUUAUUUUAUCACUUACCAGUGCGGCCUGCACCUUUAACGACUCCGUAAAUGUGGUAUUGCAUGGUCUUGCAUAUAUUUUAAUGUGACAUCAUUUGCUUUAUACAAACAUAGUGUAAAGACGCACUAGGCGCAUCAAUGAAUAAUUAUUCUUUUUACUUUAAACAGUCUUAAUUUUGGGUAUGUGAUAAUUAGAAUAUUAUAUUCGUGUAGUUUCAUUACUGAAUUUACUGAACCAGAGGCUGGCAUAAUAUGAUUUGAUUUAUCUCGUUCAAUAAAUUUAGUAUUGAAGUUACACUCGUUCAAUAUCCUCUAUUUAAUCAAGGACAUAUGUGGGGGAUUUAUUUAUAGUAAAUAUUCUUAAUAUUCUGUCUUUUAAGACUAAAAUGAAAUAACUAGUCACAAAUACAUAAAGUCCUUGAAAUUCAUCCUUAUGGUCUGUCAUCUAUUUCAUCUAAUAUUGUCAUUCAUUUAUAUGUACGAUGUUAAAGGUCAGUGGACAUAAUAUUUACAUAUUAAAUUUUAUCAUGUAGAGCAAACUUAAGUAAGUUUAUUUGACCUAAAACCGGAAGUGACUUACAUUUAUAUCCCUAUGUAUAUUUUUGAUUAUUCAUGAUAACAAUGUUAAUAAUUGUGCUCAAUUAAGUGUAUUGCUUGAAUGAUUUUUAUAUUAUAAUAAUACAACAAGAUAUUUGAUGUUUAGAUAUUAUCUUGGAUAAAAGAUAACAUUUUGAAGUCCUAGAUAUUACUUACUUUUAAGACUUACCAAACUUCUGCUGAUGUUUUUGCCUUGGUUUUAUUCUGGUCAUAUUUUUCUUUAUUUUUAUCCACCCAGUAUAUCCAUAUAAUGCAAGAAUGGUAAAAUUCACCGAGAAAUAUGCAAAAUAAUGUGAAAUCUGUGCAAAUCUAUGAAUGAAAUAAUUAUUGCUGUAAGUAAAUGAAACCAUAUAUUUUAGAGAAAGUAAACUAAACUGAAAGAAAUGAAUUAGAGCAUAUGGCUGUUUUAACAUCAUAUUUCAACCCCUUUUACAAAUUUUACUAGGAAAGUCUUUUUUUUUAUGAUCAUUCAUUUACAAGUCUACCUGGCUACUAAUUUCAACAAUAUAUAUAUUCACGUUUAGACAUUGCAGUUGUCAAUCUCCGGUGCAUUAUUUUCUCAUUUAUAUCAAUCCAAAUCCCAAUUAAUGUAUGGUUAUAUCAUUUAAUAUGUUUCUAUGUUAGUUAUUCCAUGACUUACAAACUUGUUUCUCAAUUGGAAAUAACUUGAUGGGUUAAUUGAAUUUAAUUUCCUAUAUUUCUGUACACAUGUAGAUAUCAGUCAUGAAAUAUUUUAUAAGUUGUUAGAUUUUGUAACUUUAUCCUACAGUGGAUAUCAAGCGAGCAAUGUUUGGCCAUGUAAGGCCUCUUGUUUUUUUGUUUAAUCUUGAUUCAAUUAUGUUCAUGUUAUCUUUGUAAAAAUAUGAUGUGUAAAAUGUAUUAAUCAAAUAAAUGAUACCCAUCAGUAUUUUAUGACAACCAUGAAUGUACAUUAUAUAUACGAGUAUGUAUAAACAAAUAUAAAAUAAAGACAUUUUUGAUUGAAUAGAUUGGAAUUUUGACGCCUG